UACGGAGGAUGCGAGCGUUAUCCGGAUUUAUUGGGUUUAAAGGGUGCGCAGGCGGAAUGUCAAGUCAGCGGUAAAAUUUCGGGGCUCAACCCCGGCCCGCCGUUGAAACUGGCAGUCUCGAGUUGGAGAGAAGUAUGCGGAAUGCGUGGUGUAGCGGUGAAAUGCAUAGAUAUCGCGCAGAACUCCGAUUGCGAAGGCAGCGUACCGGCGCCGGACUGACGCUGAGGCACGAAAGCGUGGGUAUCGAACAGG
rnacentral:rRNA from 1 species